GCCGGGGUGGCGGAAUGGCAGACGCGCAGGACUCAAAAUCCUGUGAUCGCAAGAUCGUGUGGGUUCGACUCCCUCCCCCGGCA
rnacentral:tRNA from 1 species